UCGCUUAUUUAACUCAGCCAUUUUAUUUUUAUAGCGAAAAUGACUUUAUUCAACAAAUCAUAAAGAUAUUGGAACAUUAUAUUUUAUUUUUGGAAUUUGAGCAGGAAUAGUAGGUACUUCUUUAAGUUUAUUAAUUCGAGCUGAAUUAGGAACUCCAGGAUCUUUAAUUGGAGAUGAUCAAAUUUAUAAUACUAUUGUAACAGCCCAUGCUUUUAUUAUAAUUUUUUUUAUAGUUAUACCAAUUAUAAUUGGAGGAUUUGGAAAUUGACUUGUACCUUUAAUAUUAGGAGCUCCUGAUAUAGCUUUCCCACGUAUAAAUAAUAUAAGUUUUUGACUUUUACCCCCAUCUUUAACUUUAUUAAUUUCUAGUAGCAUUGUAGAAAAUGGAGCAGGAACUGGAUGAACAGUUUACCCCCCUCUCCUCUAAUAUUGCUCAUGGUGGUAGUUCAGUAGAUUUAGCUAUUUUCUCACUUCAUUUAGCUGGAAUUUCAUCUAUUUUAGGAGCUAUUAACUUUAUUACCACUAUUAUUAAUAUACGAUUAAAUAAUUUAUCAUUUGAUCAAAUACCUUUAUUUAUUUGAGCUGUAGGUAUUACCGCAUUUUUAUUAUUAUUAUCUUUACCUGUUUUAGCUGGAGCUAUUACUAUAUUACUUACUGAUCGAAAUCUAAAUACAUCAUUUUUCGAUCCUGCAGGAGGAGGUGAUCCUAUUCUUUAUCAACAUUUAUUUUGAUUUUUUGGACAUCCUGAAGUAUAUAUUUUAAUUUUACCGGGAUUUGGUAUAAUUUCUCACAUUAUUUCUCAAGAAAGAGGUAAAAAGGAAACAUUUGGAUGUUUAGGUAUAAUUUAUGCUAUAUUAGCAAUUGGUUUAUUAGGAUUUAUUGUUUGAGCUCAUCAUAUAUUUACUGUAGGAAUAGAUAUUGAUACACGAGCAUAUUUUACAUCUGCAACAAUAAUUAUUGCUGUACCAACAGGUAUUAAAAUUUUUAGUUGAUUAGCUACUUUCCAUGGAACUCAAAUCAAUUAUUCCCCAUCUAUUUUAUGAAGAUUAGGAUUUGUAUUUUUAUUUACUGUAGGGGGAUUAACAGGUGUAAUUUUAUCUAAUUCUUCUAUUGAUAUUACUUUACAUGAUACUUACUAUGUAGUUGCUCAUUUCCACUAUGUUUUAUCAAUAGGAGCUGUAUUUGCUAUUUUAGGUGGAUUUAUUCACUGAUAUCCAUUAUUUACUGGAUUAUCUUUAAAUCCUUAUAUAUUAAAAAUUCAAUUUUUUAUUAUAUUUAUCGGAGUAAAUUUAACUUUCUUCCCACAACAUUUUUUAGGAUUAGCAGGUAUACCUCGUCGAUAUUCUGAUUAUCCUGAUUCUUAUAUUUCAUGAAAUAUUAUUUCAUCAUUAGGAUCAUAUAUUUCAUUAUUAGCAAUUAUAUUUAUAUUAAUUAUUAUUUGAGAAUCUAUAAUUAAUCAACGAAUUUCUUUAUUUACUUUAAAUUUAUCUUCUUCAAUUGAAUGAUAUCAAAAUUUACCACCAGCUGAACAUUCAUAUAAUGAAUUGCCUAUUUUAAGUAACUUCUAAUAUGGCAGAUUAUAUGUAAUGGAUUUAAACCCCAUUUAUAAAGGAAUUAUCCUUUUUUUAGAAAUGGCAACAUGAUCUAAUCUUAAUUUACAAAAUAGAGCAUCUCCUUUAAUAGAACAAAUUAUUUUCUUUCACGAUCACACUUUAAUUAUUUUAAUUAUAAUUACAAUUCUAGUAGGAUAUUUAAUAUCAAGCUUAUUAUUUAAUAAAUAUAUUAAUCGAUUUUUAUUAGAAGGUCAAAUAAUUGAAUUAAUUUGAACUAUUUUACCAGCAAUUACAUUAAUUUUUAUUGCAUUACCUUCACUACGAUUAUUAUAUUUAUUAGAUGAACUUAAUAAUCCUUUAAUUACAUUAAAAUCAAUUGGUCAUCAAUGAUAUUGAAGUUAUGAAUAUUCAGAUUUUCAUAAUAUUGAAUUUGAUUCUUAUAUAAUUUCUACAAAUGAUAUAUCAAGUAAUAAUUUUCGUUUAUUAGAUGUUGAUAAUCGAAUUAUUUUACCUAUGAAUAACCAAAUUCGAAUUAUAGUUACUGCUACUGAUGUAAUUCACUCAUGAACCGUCCCUUCAUUAGGAGUUAAAGUAGAUGCAAAUCCAGGUCGACUAAAUCAAACAAAUUUUUUCAUUAAUCGACCUGGAAUUUUUUAUGGUCAAUGUUCAGAAAUUUGUGGAGCUAAUCAUAGUUUUAUACCAAUUGUAAUUGAAAGAAUUUCAAUUAAAAAUUUUAUUAAUUGAAUUAAUAAUUAUUCUU